CUCUAUUGUGACUUCAACCAUACCCAGGAGCAUUUGGUUACUUGUGUCUUUCCCAUUCUGCCUCACUAUCAAUAGGAUGGGUUUCUCCCUGGAAACUCCAGAGCUUCACGCCAGUGUGGGUUGGCCUCAUCAUCCCUUGUGCUCAGGCAGAGGAGGAAACAGCCGACAGUCUGGCCAGAGUCUCCCCAUCUUUCCAGAAUGAAAGUCCGAUUUGCUGAAAGGAGACUACAAAAUCAUGAAUGGAGGAGGGAAUGAAUGAAUGGGCGAGUGCUGGAGAGACGGAAGGAUGAGUGAAUAGCUGACUCUAUCUGCAAAACUUGGUAUUACUAGAAAACCAGUUUUAUUUUAAUAUGGCCAAAAUAUUUGGAGGUUAAGGUCACAGAAGUUUAAAUUAUUCAAUAAGAAAUUUGAAGCCAAAAUCAUGGCAUCAAAAUCCAGAAUCAUUCCUAUAAUGAUAAGUUCAGAGUUACUAAACUGUAGAAAAUAUGCCAAUGCUCAGGCACUGUAUAUUAUUUGAAAUGUCUGGAUUGGUUGGGGAUUUUUAAAAUAAAAAUACAAUUCUUCAAU
rnacentral:lncRNA from 1 species